rnacentral:misc_RNA from 1 species
GAAAUGCGAUACGUAGUGUGAAUUGCAGAAUUCAGUGAAUCAUCGAAUCUUUGAACGCACAUUGCGCCCUUUGGUAUUCCAAAGGGCAUGCCUGUUCGAGCGUCAUUUGUACCCUCAAGCUUUGCUUGGUGUUGGGCGUCUUGUCUCCAGUUCGCUGGAGACUCGCCUUAAAGUCAUUGGCAGCCGGCCUACUGGUUUCGGAGCGCAGCACAAGUCGCGCUCUCUUCCAUGAAUGUCAGCAUCCAUCAAGACUAUUUUCACUCUUGACCUCGGAUCAGGUAGGGAUACCCGCAUCGAUGAAGAAC